GACGCCACCCACAAUCCCGGUGAUCUCCCUGACCGACGUUGUUGCAGGAUCAAAGGCGCUCGUAGAGACCUUCUGUUCGCCAAAGAUGGAGUUUACUGUGGCACUCUUACCCACUCCAGUUUUUCCGAGGAGCAAGAUGUUGCAGGAGAAAUCCAAUGGCUCUUUGCCUUCAUCUUCAAGCUGCAGAGCUUUCUUUUUUGCGUUCUCAAGGCUGAAUGCCCGGCCAAUCUGCCUCCCACGCCUGAUGCCCUCAGCAAGGCUCAGGCGGUAGAGGACCUGCUCCACCACCCGGUCCUCAGGGGAAUGCCCCAGUCGGUGAACGAGACGCAAGAACUUGACCUUUAUCCGGUCAACAUUCUCCUUCAGCUUCUUUUCUUCCUCGUCCACGGCGUCCUCUUGUUCUGGUGCCACAGCGAGAUCUGAGGGGGAGAAAAUAUUUGACCUGUUAGUGCGAGGAGCCGCUGGCUUUAGAGAAGGGAUGGAAGACCCUAAGCCUGCUGGGCGAUCAACAGAGAAGAUCCGGGUGCCAUCUGGGCCAGUGAACGUGAUGUCCCCAUUGGAUGAAGCCCC
rnacentral:lncRNA from 1 species